AUUGAACGCUGGCGGCAGGCCUAACACAUGCAAGUCGAACGAGUGGCGGACGGGUGAGUAAUGUCUGGGAAACUGCCUGAUGGAGGGGGAUAACUACUGGAAACGGUAGCUAAUACCGCAUACCAUCAGAUGUGCCCAGAUGGGAUUAGCUAGUUGGCGGGGUAACGGCUCACCAAGGCGACGAUCCCGAGCUGGUCUGAGAGGAUGACCAGCCACACAGAAACUGAGACACGGUCCAGACUCCUACGGGAGGCAGCAGUGGGGAAUAUUGCACAAUGGUGGCAAGCCUGAUGCAGCCAUGCCGCGUGUAUGGAGGAAGCCGUCGGGUUGUAAAGUACUUUCAGCGAGGAGGAGUUACCCGCAGAAGAAGCACCGGCUAACUCCGUGCCAGCAGCCGCGGUAAUAC
rnacentral:rRNA from 1 species